UUUAGGACGAUUCGAGUCACUAAAAUGAUUCGGUUUUCCAUGGCUAUAUGAGAAAGGUAGCCUAAAUAUAGGGUGAAUCGAAUUAAAAAGAAGAAAGAUAAACCGAGAAAGAGCUUUCGACGCUGUUCAGGUUUAUUGAGUUCUGAAGGUCCAGCAUUCUCUCACUGCACCAGAGUGCAUUCAUCUCCUUGAACUUCUUUGAUUUGUUCUGGUCCUCUUUCUGACUCCGAGGGGACUGAAGAUUUUACGAUUAAAGAAAAAACAACAGCAAACACUGCAACUCCAUGUGAACAUAGGAAAAACCUCAGUGCUGAUGUGCUCUUUAGGUAUAUAAAAAAAGAUGUUAGCCUACUGCUCAAGAAUACUGACUUGAACUGCUACUCAUCAACUGAUUGUCAUGAACCUUGACAAAACUGAGUUCCUUUUCAUCACCGCCAAAGCCUCCCCCACUGUCUCUCGAAGUGAAGGUCAAAUGAUCAUUGUCUCCUGUGUGAAAAGUUAUCCUGGAUAAUAAACCGACCUUCACUGGUCACGUAGCAUCAGCUGCCCAAACCCGCAGUAAGUUUCUUAAGGCAAAAGAAAGGUGAGCACACUAUAUAUUCCUUAUAGUAUAUUUUCGAGCUUUUCUUUUUUGUGAUUUAUUUUUCUAAAUAAUGAAGUGUUUGUUAGUGUUUUGUGGCUUUCCUCAAAACUUUGUAUAUUGCACAGUAUGCAAUAUAGCCACCAAACUGGAUUUUGAAUACGUUGUUCCAGCUGUCAUAACAGAAUUUAAGCUAAGCAAGAUGAAAACAACAACA